GACGAACGCUGGCGGCGUGCUUAACACAUGCAAGUCGAACGAUUUAGUCGUCGGUCAUCAGACGUCAGACGUCAGGGGAACGAAUGGAACUGAAGAAAGAACUCGCUUUAGCGAAAAUCUAUUCCGAAACCCUUACGACCGAUGUCCGAUGACUGACGACCGAAUAGUGGCGGACGGGUGAGUAACGCGUGGGCAACCUACCCAUAAGAGGGGGAUAACAGCUGGAAACGGCUGCUAAUACCGCAUAAGCUUUUUGAGACACAUGUUUUAGAAAGUAAAGGAGGCGCAAGCUUCCGCUUAUGGAUGGGCCCGCGUCUGAUUAGCUAGUUGGUAGGGUAGCGGCCUACCAAGGCAACGAUCAGUAGCCGGCCUGAGAGGGUGGACGGCCACACUGGGACUGAGAACGGCCCAGACUCCUACGGGAGGCAGCAGUGGGGAAUAUUGCGCAAUGGGGGAAACCCUGACGCAGCGACGCCGCGUGAGGGAAGAAGGCCUCGGUUGUAACUCUGUCUGUGACG
rnacentral:rRNA from 1 species